AAAAAAAGAAAAGAAAUUUCAUAAAUGCUUCUCCUCCUUUCUGUUUUUUAAUUAGAUUUUCAUAGCCGAUUUCUGGGGAGAACAACAUAUUUCAGAUGCAACAAAUUCAUCUGCACUCAGGCUUAGAUCAGGUACUCGAGAGGCUUUGUGGCAGUAGGGGGUGGAAAAUGUCAGGAAUGAGACCUUGAUGGGGUAAGAGGGGAAGGGGUGAAGGAACAGGGUAGGGGUUUGGGGCAGCCCUCACUGCUGGCCAAUGUUUCUGGAUGAAAACAGCUUUGGUUAAGAUCUGAAGUAUUUUUUAAUUCUACACAUACUCAGAAAUAAUAGGUAAUAAGAAUUUUAAAAACGUAGAGUGCAUAAACUAUAAAGCGAAAAUUCCCAGUGGCGAUGGCUAACAAUUUUUUGUUCAGGUUUCCUGAAUUGUUUUUCUGUUCAUGUACACACACACACGCCUCAACGUUUUCAACUUGCCUUUGAUACUUACUAGAUAUUGCUAUACUUCCUUAUUAUUACCUAUAAAUCUGCCUCAUUCUUUAACUACUAUUGAGAGACAGUUAAGCUGUUGUUAUUUUGAUUUUUUCUUAUUACAAGCACUGUAACAGUGAAUAGGCUUUGAGCACUGGGAGAGCACUUCAGGGAAUCUAUCCACUGAAGAAUAAAUCUCUUAGAGUGAAAUUGCUGCAUUUAACAGGUAGCUCCUGGGAGCAGAAAAAUUCAAACAGGCUGUCGUGUAGGCUGGAUUCCCACCUACUGCCUGGAGAGACUGGAACAUGGACAUGGAACAGCAUUUCUGCAUGGAAUUUAUUUUUCUUCUCUGACGUUGAAAUUUGCAUUUCUUUUAGUAAAAUAAGCUGGUUCAAAAACAUGUACGCACCCUUGUUUUGUCCAUGUCACUUAACAAUUCCAAAGGAUUUGGGAUUUUUACAGUUUUUUUUUUCAAGAAUUCAGUGAAACAGAGCUAGUGUUAGCAGCUCCAUAUUUUAGUCAGGAAACUGAGGCACAUUUGAGGCCUGGCAUCUUAUUUAAGCACAGUCUCUCUCCACUGUGUGAAUCACAGUUUAAUACUGUCCAAAUCAGGAUUCUUCGUUGCAUGCAACAGAAACUGACUCAUGCUGACUAAGUAGAAGGAGAAUUUCUGGACAACUCUGGGAAUCGCUAGGAAGGCAGGCAAGCCAGGUUUGGAGAACAGUGGAAGCAGAGGCACUGCAGCACGGACGCUCAGCUGCCACUGCUGCCACUGUCAGACUGGAUUCUCGUCUGCCCCCGUCCCUGCAUGGCUCACUAGCCAGACGGAGGGCACAGGCUGGGCCUGGGUGCAGAGGAGUCCGGGAAUGUAGCGUUGGCUCCCCUUUGGCAUCUCCAGCAGGUUGUGGACUCUGCUCUCCUAUGGGGGAAAUUUCCAGAUAUGGGAAACUGAUUUGGUCACUGGUAUAUGCUCAAACCUUUUGGCUAUUUCUUUCUUGGGUUGAUAACUUGUUAACAAAUAUUUCUUUCUAAAAAAUCCUUCUGCAACAUCUAUCUUUAGGAAUUUCUGGGAACAAAAGCAUAAGGAGUGGAGAGCCAGCUUAUUCCUAAGCCAUAAAUUUAACAUUAAGUAUAUACAUUUCCCAGACUAAAAUAUUUAUGGUCAGCUGUAUGUCACACAGGGUUAUUUGGAAAAUUUUGGUGUGUAGAAUUAAUAAGGAGCCCUAGGAUGCCUUGAUCUCUCAUUUUCUAGCUGUCAGGCAUGAUGAUCCCAGAGGUGAAGGAAAAAUAAUUAAACAGUGGAGGAAAAAACAAUCUCAUUUGCUGUGUUUUGAUUUUCAGAAAAGACAGUGUUCUAAAAGCCAUAACCUCAGGAAACUAAGAAAUAGUUUCUUAUUUUGAAUCAAUUACUUUAAUCUGUUAGUUUUCCUGUAAUUAUAAUAAAAACAUUUAGCUGAGA